GACGAACGCUGGCGGCGUGCUUAACACAUGCAAGUCGAACGCUGAAGCUCAGCUUGCUGGGUGGAUGAGUGGCGAACGGGUGAGUAACACGUGAGUAACCUGCCCUCUUCUUUGGGAUAACGCCCGGAAACGGGUGCUAAUACUGGAUAUUCACUGAUUCUCGCAUGGGGGUUGGUGGAAAGGUUUGUUCUGGUGGGGGAUGGGCUCGCGGCCUAUCAGCUUGUUGGUGGGGUGAUGGCCUACCAAGGCUUUGACGGGUAGCCGGCCUGAGAGGGUGACCGGUCACAUUGGGACUGAGAUACGGCCCAGACUCCUACGGGAGGCAGCAGUGGGGAAGAUUGCACAAUGGGCGAAAGCCGGAUGCAGCGACGCCGCGUGAGGGAUGGAGGCCUUCGGGUUGUAAACCUCUUUCGCUCAUGGUCAAGCCGCAGCUUGGGGUUGUGGUGAGGGUAGUGGGUAAAGAAGCGCCGGCUAACUACGUG
rnacentral:rRNA from 1 species